rnacentral:rRNA from 1 species
AGACCCGAAACCCGGUGAUCUAGCCAUGGGCAGGUUGAAGGUUGGGUAACACUAACUGGAGGACCGAACCGACUAAUGUUGAAAAAUUAGCGGAUGACCUGUGGCUGGGGGUGAAAGGCCAAUCAAACCGGGAGAUAGCUGGUUCUCCCCGAAAGCUAUUUAGGUAGCGCCUCGUGAAUUCAUCUCCGGGGGUAGAGCACUGUUUCGGCUAGGGGGCCAUCCCGGCUUACCAACCCGAUGCAAACUGCGAAUACCGGAGAAUGUUAUCACGGGAGACACACGGCGGGUGCUAACGUCCGUCGUGAAGAGGGAAACAACCCAGACCGCCAGCUAAGGUCCCAAAGUCAUGGUUAAGUGGGAAACGAUGUGGGAAGGCCCAGACAGCCAGGAUGUUGGCUUAGAAGCAGCCAUCAUUUAAAGAAAGCGUAAUAGCUCACUGGUCGAGUCGGCCUGCGCGGAAGAUGUAACGGGGCUAAACCAUGCACCGAAGCUGCGGCAGCGACACUUAUGCGUUGUUGGGUAGGGGAGCGUUCUGUAAGCCUGCGAAGGUGGCCUGUGAGGGUUGCUGGAGGUAUCAGAAGUGCGAAUGCUGACAUAAGUAACGAUAAAGCGGGUGAAAAGCCCGCUCGCCGGAAGACCAAGGGUUCCUGUCCAACGUUAAUCGGGGCAGGGUGAGUCGACCCCUAAGGCGAGGCCGAAAGGCGUAGUCGAUGGGAAACGGGUUAAUAUUCCCGUACUUGGUGUUACUGCGAAGGGGGGACGGAGAAGGCUAUGUUGGCCGGGCGACGGUUGUCCCGGUUUAAGCGUGUAGGUGUGUGUUCCAGGUAAAUCCGGUUCACUUUAACACUGAGGCGUGACGACGAGGCACUACGGUGCUGAAGCAACAAAUGCCCUGCUUCCAGGAAAAGCCUCUAAGCAUCAGGUAACAUCAAAUCGUACCCCAAACCGACACAGGUGGUCAGGUAGAGAAUACCAAGGCGCUUGAGAGAACUCGGGUGAAGGAACUAGGCAAAAUGGUGCCGUAACUUCGGGAGAAGGCACGCUGACACGUAGGUGAAGUGAUUUACUCAUGGAGCUGAAGUCAGUCGAAGAUACCAGCUGGCUGCAACUGUUUAUUAAAAACACAGCACUGUGCAAACACGAAAGUGGACGUAUACGGUGUGACGCCUGCCCGGUGCCGGAAGGUUAAUUGAUGGGGUCAGCGCAAGCGAAGCUCCUGAUCGAAGCCCCGGUAAACGGCGGCCGUAACUAUAACGGUCCUAAGGUAGCGAAAUUCCUUGUCGGGUAAGUUCCGACCUGCACGAAUGGCGUAAUGAUGGCCAGGCUGUCUCCACCCGAGACUCAGUGAAAUUGAACUCGCUGUGAAGAUGCAGUGUACCCGCGGCAAGACGGAAAGACCCCGUGAACCUUUACUAUAGCUUGACACUGAACAUUGAGCCUUGAUGUGUAGGAUAGGUGGGAGGCUUUGAAGUGUGGACGCCAGUCUGCAUGGAGCCGACCUUGAAAUACCACCCUUUAAUGUUUGAUGUUCUAACGUGGACCCGUUACCCGGGUUGCGGACAGUGUCUGGUGGGUAGUUUGACUGGGGCGGUCUCCUCCUAAAGAGUAACGGAGGAGCACGAAGGUUGGCUAAUCCUGGUCGGACAUCAGGAGGUUAGUGCAAUGGCAUAAGCCAGCUUGACUGCGAGCGUGACGGCGCGAGCAGGUGCGAAAGCAGGUCAUAGUGAUCC